GUGCUCGCUUCAGCAGCACAUAUACUAAAACUGGAAUGAAAAAGAGAAGAUUAGCAUGGCCCCUGGGCAAGGAUGACACACAAAUUUGUGAAGUGUUCCAUAUUUUU